ACGGGAAUAUCACGUAGAAACACCGGUUCUCGUCCGAUCACCGAAGUUAAGCUAUGCCGUGCUUGGUCACUACCUAGAUGGGUGACAAUUUGGGAGUACCAGGUGCUGUAA